UGCAAAUUGUUGAAGCUCCAUUAAACACACCAAUUGUAAGGAUCAAUUGAACAUCUGGCCCAAUGGUUUUAUCUAAGCAGACAAUUUGUAAGAGAGAGCACGCCACAACUUGUUUUAGCUUACAAAAUAUUUUUAUAUUUAUUAAUUAGUCUCAGGUUCAGAGGAGCUAAGCACCUCCAUAUCCAAUUGACUGGACUGGACUCUGCACACAAGACACACUGCGUGGAAUUCAACACUGUGCUCUUCCAAUUGUUCCAUCUCCACAAGCAUUCCAGCUUGCCAGAUGGAACAAUCCCUCUCUUCUCCCCCUGAACACUGUUCUGGCCAUUCUCCUAACCUACCCUGACCCAAUUUCAGGGAGUGUGGGGCAAGGAGAGUAGAUCACAGCCCUCUUCAGCUGCUAUUAUUAUUAUUUUUUAUUUUUUUAUUUAUACAUACCCCGCCCAUCUGGCUGGGUUUCCCCAGCCACUCUGGGCAGCUUCCAACAAAAUAUUAAAAUACAGUAGUCCGUCAAACAUUAAAAGCUUCCCUAAACAGGGCUGCCUUCAGAUGCCUUCUAAAAGUCUGGUACAGUCAUACCUCGGGUUAAAGUCGCUUCAGGGUAAAUCUUUUCAGGUUGUGUCCCACAGCGACCCGGAAGUAACGAACUGGGUUACUUCUGGGUUUCACCGCUCGCGCAUGUGCUCAAAAUGACGUCAUGCGCAGAAACGGCGAAUCACGACCCGCCCACUCGCGGGUUGCAUUCUGCUCAGGAUGCGAACGGGUCUCCGUAACGGAUCCUGUUCGCAUCCUGUAGUUGUUGUUCUCUUUGACAUCUGGUGGGUUUCGACAGGGCGCGUGCCACUACCGAGAAGGCCCUUUGCCUGGUUCCCUGUAACUUGGCUUCUCACAGUGAGGGACCCGCCAGAAGGCCCUCAGCGCUGGACCUCAGUGUCUGGGCAGAAUGAUGGGGGUGGAGAUGCUCCUUCAUUGAUAACCUAAGGUGAAAUAGCAGCCAUUGAUAUCUUUAAGAGAGGACAAAUUGGAUUAGCCUAUCUAAAUUGGUAAAAUGGGGUAGAUGCUGCCACAUCUUGCAAUAACAAAUUCCAUGGUUUUGCUCUCUCCCACCUUUCAGGCAAGGUGAACACCGGCAAACAUUUAGGUAUGUCUGAGUUUACAGGAUAUCCACAAAAUACAUCUGGAAUUCUCAGUGUGAUCUCUGAGUCCGAGGACAAGACGUUCACUGAAACACAUGAACAAGAGAGACUGUAAUACAGCUAUGGAAAAUGAGCAAAUGUCCUGGUCUUUACUGCAUACAGGAAAUGGAUGAGAAAGCUCUCUGCUGUGGAAGGUUUCAGUGUGAUCUUCGCACUGCAUCCCCAGGCUUCAAGUUCACAUCAGCCUCUGCUCUUUUAUCAGGAUUAAAAAUGACAUGACAGCCAAUGAGGUCUGGUUUCAAAAGCUGUAAAGUAAGCUGUCACCCUUCCCCCAAACUCUAUGAAAAUAUGGAAUAUCUAACCAUCUCUGAACAAGCUCAUGGUUCUAGAUUAAUGAAUGGCAUUAACAAGGCACUGAUGUGAGGAAGUACAUCCCACUUACAAUGUCACUAGACAGAGCUCAAUAGUAUAGAAGAAAUAUUAUCAGAGGGAAAAAGUGAAAAAGGGAAGGAAUCGAGGUUCUUGUUAACCGACAGCUUUCAAACUUCUAAUGCAUGUUUAUAAAAUGCUCACAUCAAAAUAUGAUCACAGUACGUUGGGUUUUUUAAUGGAAUACACAAAAUAUAAAACAUUUUGAAAAUCUAAGGGGGAAAAUGUCUAUAUCACAUAGAACCAUCUUUACCUAUCUGGAAACAAAUGCAGGGAAAGUCACUGUCUUUAGUAAGGCUGAGAUACAGACACAUAAUCUAUAAUCCUUGAUUAUUCCGGCUUUGCCCUAUACAAAGAGAACUUCUUUCUGAAUUAUGAACAGCAGAAACACUCAGUCAACCAUUUCACCCAAGUCUGCUGAAAAACUAAGAUGCAUUGGAUGAACCACACAUAAUUAAAGCUUCUCCAUUGCCAAAUUCCACUAUAUAAUCAUUUAUAAAAUACACAGAGACCACCAUAUUUGACCAGAUGAGAGAAAUCAAUAAAAACAGAUCAACAAUGUCAAGGUAUAGAAUUGAAAGCACAUGUUCGGUUUCAAUCUCUUACUCAUAAAACAACAUUACAAAACAAGUGUGUACUACUCAGCAGGUAACUGUGCAAUCUAAUAUUCUGUCCCAUUCUGAAGCAAACCAAUUUAUAAUAUGUUUUCUGCACGUGAAAUUGCAAGUAUCUAUGUUUCAGAUUUUGGAAUAAAAUGCAGCUGAACUCAGGAAUUACUAAAUAAGCAAGUGGAAUACCAUCUACUAAAAUGCAUUUGAAAUGGUAGAGCAAAUAAAAUGCUACAAUGC
rnacentral:lncRNA from 1 species